CGCCUGUUUAACAAAAACAUUUCUUUUAGGUUUUUUUGAAAGGUACUUUCUGCCCUAUGGUUAAACUAAAUGGCUGCAGUAUUUUGACUGUGCAAAGGUAGCAUAAUAAUUAGUUUUUUAAUUGAAGGCUUGUAUGAAUGGAAAAUUGAGAUAUAUAUUUUAUUUUAUUUAAUUUUAAAAUUUAAAUUUUAGGUUAAAAUAUCUAAUUAAAUUCUUGGGACGAUAAGACCCUAUAGAACUUUACAGUGUUUUUUUUAUUAAAUUUUUGUUAUUAUAUUUUAUUAAAUUAAAUUUUGUUUUGCUGGGGUGGUGGAUAAAUUAGAAACUUUAUUGCUAAAAAUCAUUAUUAGUGUUAUUUUUGAUCAUUAUGAAGAAUUAAGAAUAAGUUACCUUAGGGAUAACAGCGUAAUUACUAUGGAAAGUUCAUAUUUAUAUAGAUUUUUGCGACCUCGAUGUUGAAUUAAGGUAAAUUUUUAGGAGCAGAAUUCUAAAUUUUAAGUCUGUUCGACUUUUAAAUCCUUACUUGAUCUGAGUUCAGACCGG
rnacentral:rRNA from 1 species